rnacentral:rRNA from 1 species
UGGGGAAUGCCUUGGCUCUCAGAGGCGAUGAAGGACGUGAUAAGCUGCGAUAAGCUUCGGGGAUCGGCACAUACGAUUUGAUCCGAAGAUUUCCGAAUGGGACAACCCAGCAGGUUGAAGACCUGUUAUCCGAAAGGAGGCGAACCCAGGGAACUGAAACAUCUAAGUACCUGGAGGAAGAGAAAACAAUAGUGAUUCCGUAAGUAGUGGCGAGCGAACGCGGAUUAGCCCAAACCCAGAUAGUUACGGCUAUUUGGGGGUUGUAGGACUGCGCUGUGGACUUUAAAAUUGAACUGGAAGCAUCUGGAAAGUUGCAUCAAAGAGGGUGAUAAUCCCGUACAGGUAAGGUUUUAAUACCUAGCAGUAUCCUGAGUAGGGCGGAGCAGGUGAAACUCCGUUUGAAUCUGCCGGCACCAUCCGGUAAGGCUAAAUACUCCUGAGAGACCGAUAGUGAACCAGUACCGUGAGGGAAAGGUGAA